UCGCUUUAACAGCACAUGUACUAAAAUUGGAAUGCUCCAGAGAAGCUUAGGAUGACCCCCAUGCAAGAAUGAUGCACAAAUUCAUGAAGCAUUCCACAUUUUU
ensembl:snRNA U6 U6 spliceosomal RNA